rnacentral:rRNA from 2 species
UACGUAGGUGGCGAGCGUUGUCCGGAAUUACUGGGUGUAAAGGGCGUGUAGGCGGGAAUGCAAGUCAGAUGUGAAAUGCCGAGGCUUAACCUCGGAGCUGCAUCUGAAACUGUGUUUCUUGAGUGUCGGAGAGGAAAGUGGAAUUCCCAGUGUAGCGGUGAAAUGCGUAGAUAUUGGGAGGAACACCAGUGGCGAAGGCGACUUUCUGGACGAUAACUGACGCUGAGGCGCGAAAGCGUGGGGAGCAAACAGG